rnacentral:rRNA from 1 species
GCCUAACACAUGCAAGUCGAGCGCUCCUCUUCGGAGGGGAGCGGCGAACGGGUGAGUAACGCGUGGGAACGUACCUUUCGGUUCGGGACAACCCUGGGAAACUGGGGCUAAUACCGGAUACGCUCUACGGAGGAAAGAUUUAUCGCCGAGAGAUCGGCCCGCGUUGGAUUAGCUUGUUGGUGAGGUAAUGGCUCACCAAGGCUACGAUCUAUAGCUGGUCUGAGAGGAUGAUCA